AAAAAAGCUUUCUAGGGUUCCGUUGAUCUAUGAUGAUCAAGGCUGGUCCGAGAGAAGGCGGUAUAGGGGAAAUCCCUAUAUACACGGAGGGACAAAAGCCUGGGAGAU
rnacentral:sRNA from 1 species